rnacentral:rRNA from 1 species
AUUGAACGCUGGCGGCAUGCCUUACACAUGCAAGUCGAACGGUAACAGGUUAAGCUGACGAGUGGCGAACGGGUGAGUAAUAUAUCGGAACGUGCCCAGUCGUGGGGGAUAACUGCUCGAAAGAGCAGCUAAUACCGCAUACGACCCGAGGGUGAAAGCGGGGGAUCGCAAGACCUCGCGCGAUUGGAGCGGCCGAUAUCAGAUUAGGUAGUUGGUGGGGUAAAAGCCUACCAAGCCAACGAUCUGUAGCUGGUCUGAGAGGACGACCAGCCACACU